AUAAUGUGGAAUCUUUAAUGCAAUUUGAUAACAAUUUGAAAACUGACAAAGUUUACAGAAAUAAAGUGAUCUUGCUCAUGUCCAAAAUAGGUGGAAAANAUUA